rnacentral:rRNA from 1 species
AUGGCAGAUCCAAUUACCCUUAGUGCUGCUGUAGGAUGGGGCGUAUCUGCAGUAGGUUGGCUCGCCUCACCCAUCAUUUCUAGGCUCCUCAACAAAGCUUUCACCCUCCUUGACUUUAACCCGACGGAGAAGCUGAAGAUAGUUGAUAUACAAGUUCAGCAACUGCAGAGGGUGAUGGAAGUAGUCGACGAGAGCACUUACAAAUUUCGUUUGGAGCCGCUUUUAGACAAGCUUAAAUCUGCUCUCUAUGAAGCCGAAGACAUCUUGGAUAGUGUCGAGUACGAGCACCUCAAGAAGCAGAUCCAAGAUGGCAAGUCAGAUGGCAGUAAGAUGGAUUUGCUAAAGAAGAAUGUUCGGUCUGCCAUGCCGAGCUCCCCCCUAAAAGAUAAGGUGACUGGUAUGUCAAAAGUGGAGUUGAAGAAGAGCCUGGAGAAGAUAGAAAGUGCUAUAAAUGAUGCAUGUGAAAUUUUGAAACAGUUGAACUUGCCAUGUGUAAGUAAUGAUAAGGGGAGACCAGCUGUUCCUACCAAUGCACGUAGUGCAGGCAUCAGUCCUCCAGUACGUGUAAUUGGUCGAGAUAAGGAUCUUCACAAGAUCAUAGCAAUGCUUCAUGAGAAGGAAGACCAGUGCCAAGCAGACACUGUCAGCGAUACAUGUUAUUCUGUGAUUGGCAUUCAUGGCAUCGCCGGGUCUGGCAAAUCAACACUUGCACGUUGUGUUUAUGAUCAGGAGAAAAAGCAGAAGCAAGAGAAUAUGGAUGGUCAUUUCGAGAUUGUCAUGUGGGUUCAUGUUUCUCAGAAAUUUGAGUUGGAUUCCAUUUUCAGGGACAUGUUUGAGGGGGCUACACGGGAAGUCUGCCUGGAUUUUAAUAGUCUUCAUGCCUUAAAAGAAAAUCUAGAGGAAAAACUGUGUGGAAAACGGAUUUUGUUGAUACUGGAUGAUGUCUGGUACAACAGUAGGAAUUCGGAAGACCAUGAAGAACUACAAAAGUUAAUUUCUCCGCUGAAUGUUGGGAAGGCAGGAAGCAGAAUCUUGGUGACUAGUCGAACUGAAGAUGCAUUAUUAGCUCUGGGUGCUGCUCAAGAGAGAUGUAUUCCAAUAUCUGACCUGGAUGAUGAAGUGUUCCUCGAAAUGUUCAUGUAUUAUGCACUUGGAGAUGCAAGGGUAGGUGGCCAUGAUCGAAGAGAACUUGAAACGAUUGGAGAGGACAUUGCAAAAAAGCUUAAGAGAUCACCUCUAGCAGCCAGAACAGUAGGUGCACGGCUGCGUAAAAACCUGAAAGUCGAGAUUUGGAUGAGGGAGAAGGAUAGGGACCUUAUGAAAGAGACAAUGGGAGCUCUAUGGUGGAGCUACCAGUAUCUUGAUGAGCAGGUGGUAGAUUUUGGUCAUUGCAAAUUUUUGGCUUUUUCUAGAGGUGAAGAUAUGAUGAACCUUGUCAACCUGCGCCGUGUAAUCAGCAAGGCAGAUCUUGAUUUUCCGAACGUUGGCAGGCUGACAUGGCUCCAAAUGUUACCAUUCUUCACAAUAAGUAAGAAGCAGGGGUACGAGUCUCACCAGCUGAAAUACCUAAACAAGCUUCAAGGCAAGCUGCAGAUCCACGGUCUUGAGAAUGUUGAGAGCAAGGAGGAGGCUGUUGAAGUAAGUCUUGCUGGCAAGGAAAAACUCACAGAACUGGUACUGGUCUGGGAUGAUAAGAACUGCAGUCCAGAAGUUCAAGCAGAGGUGCUUGAGGGUCUUUGUCCAUCAAAGUAUCUUGAAAGAUUAGAAAUCAGGGGUUACCGUGGUAAGAGGAUACCGAGUUGGAUGAUGGGUACGCAUAACGGCAGCCCGAAGAACCUGCAAGACCUUCACUUCAUCAGAUGCAGCUUGGAUGACUUACCAGGUAAUACGGAGCACCUCACAUCACUCAAGAAUGUGAUCCGGUAUAACUACAGCCAAUCCAAAUUGGCAAAAGAUUGA